UGCUGACCUACUGGGCCAAGGUCAC
rnacentral:piRNA from 1 species